rnacentral:rRNA from 1 species
CUACGGGGGGCAGCAGUGGGGAAUAUUGCACAAUGGGCGCAAGCCUGAUGCAGCAACGCCGCGUGAGCGAUGAAGGCCUUCGGGUCGUAAAGCUCUGUCCUCAAGGAAGAAUCAAUGACGGUACCUGACUAAGAAGCCCCGGCUAACUACGUGCCAGCAGCCGCGGUAAUACGGAGGGGGCAAACGUUAUCCGGAAUUACUGGGUGUAAAGGGUACGUAGGCGGCUGAUCAAGUCAGAUGUGAAAGCCCGGAGCUCAACUCCGGGAUUGCAUUUGAAACUGGUCGGCUAGAGUGCAGGAGAGGAAAGUGGAAUUCCUAGUGUAGCGGUGAAAUGCGUAGAUAUUAGGAAGAACACCAGUGGCGAAGGCGGCUUUCUGGACUGUAACUGACGCUGAGGUACGAAAGCGUGGGGAGCGAACAGGAUUAGAUACCCUCGUAGUC